rnacentral:pre_miRNA from 1 species
AAUAAAAUUGCUGUGUCAUAUGGUAAUUCCAAGGUUAAACCUUGGAGGAACUGCCCGACUAUUUUCUAGAGUGGUUGUGCUAUUUAUAUUUUCACUAGCAGU